GAUAACUACUGGAAACGGUGGCUAAUACCGCAUAACGUCGCAAGACCAAAGAGGGGGACCUUCGGGCCUCUUGCCAUCAGAUGUGCCCAGAUGGGAUUAGCUUGUUGGUGAGGUAACGGCUCACCAAGGCGACGAUCCCUAGCUGGUCUGAGAGGAUGACCAGCCACACUGGAACUGAGACACGGUCCAGACUCCUACGGGAGGCAGCAGUGGGGAAUAUUGCACAAUGGGCGCAAGCCUGAUGCAGCCAUGCCGCGUGUAUGAAGAAGGCCUUCGGGUUGUAAAGUACUU
rnacentral:rRNA from 1 species